AAGAUUGUGGACUCAUAAGACGUGGCUUAGAGUCUGCCCCCAGUGCCAUUUCCCUGGUUAGUGGUAAAGAACUGGUGUUUUGCGGGGAGACAGACCCAGGUUCCAAUGUCUGAUGUAACUCUGUGUGGCCUUGGGAUCUUUUGUAUGAAACUAUUAUGCUGGCAAUCCUUGGGAAAUACCAGAGAACAUGAUAAGUAGCAGGAAAUUCAAGACUGUAAAGUGUUCUGAUUUUAAAAAGGAGAAAAAAGUAUCCUCGCUAGACUACUGUCACCUCCAGAGUUAUCCUGUGCAGUGUGCAUUUUUCAGGUACAGGGGUCUCCCUAUGUUGCCCAGGCUCAUCUUGAACUC